AUUGAACGCUGGCGGCAGGCCUAACACAUGCAAGUCGAACGAGUGGCGGACGGGUGAGUAAUGUCUGGGAAACUGCCUGCUGGAGGGGGAUAACUACUGGAAACGGUAGCUAAUCCCGCAUACUAUCGGAUGUGCCCAGCUGGGCUUAGCUAGUAGGUGGGGUAAUGGGGCACCUAGGCGACGAUCCCUAGCUGGUCUGCGAGGAGUACCAGCCACACUGGAACGGAGACACUGUCCAGACUCCUACGGGAGGCAGCAGUGGGGAAUAUUGCACAAUGGGCGCAAUCCGGAUGCAGCCAUGCCGCGUGUAUGAAGAAGGCCUUCGGGUUGUAAAGUACUUUCAGCGGGGAGGCGUUACCCGCAGAAGAAGCACCGGCUAACUCCGUGCCAGCAGCCGCGGUAAUUC
rnacentral:rRNA from 1 species